rnacentral:antisense_RNA from 1 species
UGGCGCUUGAGGCUUUUUGCCUCACCGUCGGCUUGUUGUGAGGCAGAAAGAAGAAAGCCCCGAAGGUAAUUUUUCAAUUAACCACGAGGCGAUCCAAUGCUAGACACAUUCAGAUUAGCCUCUUACCACGCUUUGUGCAAGGAGAAGAAGGCUAUG